AGGGCCCGCCCGGCAGGACCACUGAGCAAGGCCUUGGAAAACCAGAGAGAUUAGAGCGCAGAAUGGGGAAAUGGAGAGAGAACCUGAAAGAGUCCCAAACUCGAGGACCUAUUGCUCCCCAAGAAUAACAUCUUCCAGAAGAACCAGACAGAAAACUAGGCUUCUGGGAACCCUGAAAUGCUUGCAGGAGUAGCAUCAUCAUGACCCUCUGUGUUCCUUGAGGCAAAGGACUUGCCUCCAUUGUUUGUUUGUUCAAUUGUCUUGUCUGUUAAAUAAAGAAAACCCUUUUCAUAUAUCUUUAAAAUUACGUUGGUUUUAUUAUUUUAUGAUUACAAAUAAUGCUGCAGUCAUCAUUCUUGUACACUCUCAUUGGCCACUGGUGUAUUUCUAUAGGGUGGAGGCCUGGAGGGUUGUUGUUCCAGCAUAGUGUUUCCAUAGCUUUUAUUUCAUUCCGUUUUCUUUCCUUUGUUGCUUUAUUAGCUAUAACCCUUUUCUUAUUUCAGAGGCUGCUUUAGGGUUUCUGGGAUACAUCUUUAAUUUAUCAUAGUCUGCUUUCUAGUAUCAUUAUGCCUCCCUUUCUGGCCUUUAUCCUAGUGUUAUGUAUUUUUACUUUAUGCACUGUAAGCUUUAAAAAGUGAUUCAUUCUUACUUUUAUUUAUUACGUCAAAUAUUUUUUGAAAGAUUUAAAUUAUAAGAAAACAUGUAGUACGUGCUUUCUAAAUGCCAUCUCCAAUAUUCGUUUCUCUGUGUAGGUCCACAUUUUUAUCUGGUAUCUUUUUGCUUCUGCCUGGAGGACUCUUAAGAUUUCUUGUAGUGUGGGUUGGUGAAUUCUUUUAGCUUUUGUAUGUUUUUCAAUGUCCUUAUUUCACUCACAGUUUUGAAAUUUUAUUUUUGCAUAGAAUUCUAGGUUAACUUUUUUUCUCUGGGUACUUUAAAAAUAUUGCCAUUUAGGAAGCAUUUUCUUUUAAAACAUCAUGUUUCUUUCCUAUGUUUGUAAAUAUGGCGUAAAGCCGGUUUCUUGUGCUGGUUAUACAAUGUUCAGAAUGCGUAUUUAAAUUUAAAAUAUUAAAUUGUACUAAAAACCUAAAAAUAUUAAUCAUGAAUGUCCUAGAUUCAUCUUAAGUUCCAACAGUGCAGUGAAAAUGUGCCCAACCUGAGGGGUCAAACCUACCUGCUGACGUGGAAUUUGUGUUUGUGAGAGCCUAGUGACUUUCCUCACAUCUGAAUGUCUUCAUUGCAAAAGGAAACGUUUUUCUUUGCAAAAAUACUUUAAAAGAUUCUGACUUCAAUUAAGUGCAUUAAAAUCAAAUUUCUCAGUUGCAUCCCUGAAAUCCAUCGAAAGCCCGGGAGAGAAAAUCAAGUGCUUCAGGAUCAAGAGCUAAACGGGGGAGGACAAAGCGGGGCUUCUUCACUAGGAGUCAAGCCAAAGUCAACUGAUUUGGUCUCCAAUGGAGAAUGGAACUCGGUUCACCAGCGAUGUGAGGACGCGUCCCAGAGGAGGCGGACUUUCUCUUCAUGGUGUCUUCGGAUAGGAAAUCUAGGAUUUUCUUUCCCUUUGAUCUACUUCCAACUCUCCCUUUCUAUUUCUUCAAGAACUUUUUCGGAUCCCUGGCUGCGAAGGACCUAAGGGGCCAGUGCCCUUCCCUACCGGUCCGUCCUUCACUAGGUGUCUUCAGAACCCAAACUCACCCGGAACAUUACUACCCGCUUCAGACAGCGAGAGGACCAAGGAGGGCUGUGGGUGCGGUGGGAACCAGAGAGUCACGUGAACCUGCGCCCGUGGGUUCCUAGCAAAUUGAAUAAAUGCCCCCUGAAGCUUCUCUGCAGGUCAGAGGGAAGGGGAGGGUGGCUGCCGACCUGGCGGGAGAAGCUUCAAGAAGCGUCAGGAUGACCUGACCCUGUCCAUGGGCCUUGAAGACAGGCCUGGCCAGGCCGAUUUUGACGGGUAGGCUCAAAGAAAAGGUUCAAGGGUGGCCCAAACCCUGACCCCGAGAUUAAGGCUCUUAAAUGUCUGACGGUUUUGAGAAUCGUCAGUAGAAUCGAUCCUGCCUGUAUCAGGAGACUCCAUUGCCAAAAUUCAGACACCAAGAAAGAGAAAGAUUUGGCAGAUCAAAAUCUGUAAUUAACCAAACAGGAGACAUAAGUUUUCUGACAAAUUGGAUGUGUGCUGUGAGAAAAAGACUAGCCUCAAGGAGAACCUGGUUUUUUGGCUUGAGUGUAGGGAAGAAUGGAGUUGCCACCAACAAUGGUGCAUUGAAACGGCAGGUGCAUCAGGCUGUAGAUGUGAAGGAAUUAAAAAUAUUUUACCCCAAAAUACACUUCUUGGACGUAUUUUGAGAUGUCUGUUCAGAAAGCCAGCUGCAGAGGUAGCCUUGCAAAGUUGUCUUUUGUCGAGGAGAUUUGCAUCUGUAGGGAAUCUGCAUUGAUACAGCCAUGUCUUUCCUUGCCCAGAUCUAGGAAAGAUUAACGGAGAGUCUGACACCUGUAAAGGUCUGAAAGAAACAUUUAGGGUUUAUUCUCUCUGAGAGAUCCUACCUGUAAGGUUUCAUUUAUAUAUUAAGACCACCUUUGCUAGCCGAGCCUCAUUUUCUCUCCCUCCCAUCAAUCAUCUUGCCCACAAUAAUUGGAUAUACCUCUGA
rnacentral:lncRNA from 1 species